rnacentral:rRNA from 3 species
CGCCUCUUGCAACACAACUAAGUAUAAGAGGUCCAGCCUGCCCAGUGACCACAAGUUUAACGGCCGCGGUAUUUUGACCGUGCAAAGGUAGCGCAAUCACUUGUCUUUUAAAUAAAGACCUGUAUGAAUGGCUAAACGAGGGCUUAACUGUCUCCCAUUUCAAGUCAGUGAAAUUGAUCUACCCGUGCAGAAGCGGGUAUAAUAAUACAAGACGAGAAGACCCUUUGGAGCUUAAGGUGCAAAACUCAAUCACGUCAAGCAACUCAAUAAAAACAUAUUAAACCUAGUAAUUUAUGAGGCCGCACCUUCGGUUGGGGCGACCAUGGAGGAAAAAAUAGCCUCCAAGCGGAAUGGGGUUAAUCCCUAAAACCAAGAGAGACAUCUCUAAGACACAGCACAUCUGACCAUAAAUGAUCCGGUAAUAAACCGAUCAACGAACCAAGUUACCCAAGGGAUAACAGCGCAAUCCUCUCCCAGAGUCCAUAUCGACGAGGGGGUUUACGACCUCGAUGUUGGAUCAGGACAUCCUAAUGGUGCAGCCGCUAUUAAGGGUUCGUUUGUUCAACGAUUAAAGUCCUACGUGAUCUGAGUU